rnacentral:tRNA from 1 species
GGGCAUGUAGCGCAGUUGGUAGCGCGCUCGCUUAGCAGUCGCAACUUGUGCAUAAUUAGCGUGCGAGAGGUCCUGGAUUCAAAUUCCAGCUUGUCCA